GGUGCCUAGCUCAGUGGUUUAGUGCUUGCUUACUAUGCUCAAAGUCCUGAGUUCAAGUCUCAACUCAGGGACUG
rnacentral:tRNA from 1 species